rnacentral:tRNA from 1 species
UGCCUCGUGGUGUAACGGUAGCACCGGAGAUUCUGGAUCUCCUUGUCUAGGUUCGAAUCCUAGCGAGGCAGCCA